CUACGGGGCGCAGCAGUGGGGAAUAUUGGACAAUGGGGGAAACCCUGAUCCAGCAAUGCCGCGUGUGUGAAGAAGGCCUGCGGGUUGUAAAGCACUUUCGGUUGGGAGGACUGCUUCUAGCACUAAUAUUGUUGGAAGUUGACGUUACCUUCAGAAGAAGCACCGGCUAACUCCGUGCCAGCAGCCGGGGUAAUACGGAGGGUGCAAGCGUUAAUCGGAAUUACUGGGCGUAAAGCGCGCGUAGGCGGCUAAAUCAGUCGGGUGUGAAAGCCCCGGGCUUAACCUGGGAACUGCAUCCGAUACUGUCUAGCUGGAGUACAGGAGAGGAGAGUGGAAUUCCACAUGUAGCGGUGAAAUGCGUAGAUAUGUGGAGGAACACCAAUGGCGAAGGCAGCUCUCUGGCCUGAUACUGACGCUGAGGUGCGAAAGCGUGGGGAGCAAACAGGAUUAGAUACCCGUGUAGUC
rnacentral:rRNA from 1 species